UGCUCUUGUGACGAAAAAGGUAGACGUAUUAGUUUUAGGAACUAAUGUCAUUUGACGUAUGGGUUCAAAUCCCUUCAAGAGCAU
rnacentral:tRNA from 1 species